CCUACGGGAGGCAGCAGUGAGGAAUAUUGGUCAAUGGCCGGAAGGCUGAACCAGCCAUGCCGCGUGAAGGUCAGUGCCCUAUGGGCGUUAAACUUCUUUUGUGCGGGAGCAAUAAUGGUCACGUGUGGCCAGACGAGAGUACCGUACGAAUAAGCAUCGGCUAACUCCGUGCCAGCAGCCGCGGUCAUACGGGGGAUGCAAGCGUUAUCCGGAUUUAUUGGGUUUAAAGGGGGCGUAGGCUGUGAGGUAAGGCAGCGGUGAAAUGCCACCGCUCAACGGGGUGAAGUGCCAUUGAUACUGGCUAGCUGGAAUGCGGAUGCCGUGGGAGGAAUGUGUGGGGUAGCGGUGAAAUGCAUAGAUAUAACACAGAACACCGAUUGCGAAGGCAUCUCACGAAUCCGCGAUUGACGCUGAUGCACGAAAGCGUGGGUAUCAAACAGGAUUAGAUACCCGAGUAGUC
rnacentral:rRNA from 1 species